rnacentral:lncRNA from 1 species
CGUCGUGGUAUAGUAGAUAGUGAAUUUUGUUAUACAAAAGAAAAUACUCAUCAAAGGUAUGAUAAAAAUGGAACAGUAAAGGCAAAUGUUUUUGAAUCAAACGUAGCACAAUCAAACGUAGCACAAUCGGACAUAGCACAACCGGACAUAGCACAANNNNNNNNNNCGGACAUAGCACAAUCGGACAUAGCACAAUCGGACAUAACACAAAAUUUCUCUUCUUUAUUUUCCUUAGACCCAUUCGAACCAAACAGUGCAAACUCCAAAUACCACUUUUUCGAAUACAUAUUUAAAAAUAAAUUAAAUGAAAAUUCAGAAAAUUAUAAAAAGUUGAUCCGAUUAAAACGAAAAGUAAUGAUUGAAAAUAGUACUAUUUUCACCACUAAUAACUAUAUUGACGAAGAUCAAAAUUAUUGGGAAGAAGCAAUAAAAGAAGCUUUAUUUUAUACUUCUAAUUUAAGCACUUUUUUUAAAGGUCUGAUUAUGCACAAUGAGAAUUAUGUAAGCGCAAGUAAUUGUAAAUUAGAUACAAGUAUUCAGUUAAAAAAAAGCAUGUCAAGUGAUGAGUACAGAAACAAACAAAAUGACAAACUCAUGGAUAAACGAAGGAACAAACAUAUGCGAACGAUGUGUAACGUAUACAACUCGUUUGAACCUUCUAACAGGCACAUUAAAUGGAAAAAAAAACGUAAUUUAUUAGAAAAAUAUUUGUUUUUUUUUUUUAAUUAUUAUUACAAUAAUAAUCGAUAUAAAAACAAACUAAUAAAUAUAUUAAACAAAACAGUCUGUAAAAAUAAUUUUUUUUCCAUUUUGGAUGAAUUAGAAAAUCAAAAAAAAUCAUGCUAUUUAUACUUAGGCUGUAAAAAUAGUAUGGAUGUAAUUAGUAUUAGUAAAUGUUUCAAUAAAAUUGGAUUAUUUCGAUUUUUUGAAAAGUUAAAAAAUUCCAUAUUUUUUGAAAGUAGUAAAUAUUUGAAACAUAAUAUGUUCAUUUUUAGACACAUGAGAUUAAAUAAAUUUUCUAACAACUUAGACAAUCACAUUUAUGAAGUUAUACAUAAUAUAGGUAUGUAUGUAAAUAUUAUGUAUAAUAAAUUAUCCGAUGAUAAAAAUAAUACUUUGUUAUUGGAAAAGAAUGAAAUUGGCUAUUCUAACGAUGACAAGGGUGACCAUAAAACUGGAAGACACUAUGAUAAGCAGAAUAAUGGGAACGAUGCUGGUCAAAAUAAUGGGCAAAAUAAUGGGCAAACUGAGAACCUCCUUUUACAAUCUCCAUUUGUAAAAUUCAACUUACAAAUAAACAGUUACAUAAACACAAUUUUACUACAAGUUUUCAAACUAUACAGUUAUGUAUAUUCAAAAAGACUCAAUGAAUAUGAAUGGUCUUUUAUGAACAAUGAAGCAAUAAAAAAAAAAAAAAAAAUGCAUAACUUAAUAGUUAAUAUUAUAAUAAAAUAUAUACGGAAUAACAGUUUUGGAGUAAAUAUAAUGGAUAUGGUUCUAUAUAAAACUUUUAACAAAUUAAAUAAUGUAUAUGUUACAAUGUAUAAACUUGUGUAUGAAUUUCUGACUAAGUUAUCUAAUAAUAAAAGGUAUUACGAUAUGAUUAUUAUCCAAGAGAUGCAACAAAAAACAGUUUUAAAUGUGUCCCUUAUUAUGUUAUAUUAUUUUUUUUUAAGUAAAAAGUUUAAAGAAAAAAAAAUGGGUAAAAUAUUAUUAAACUAUAUAUGUGAUUAUGUGUUAUGUUUCAAUUUAGAGAGUAAUAAAAUAUGUGCAAAAUAUAAUAACAACAACAACAACAAUAAUAAUAAUAAUAAUAAUAAUAAUAAUAAUAAUAANNNNNNNNNNAAUAAUAAUAAUAAUAAUAAUAAUAAUAAUAAUAAUAAUAGUGACGCGAAUGGACGAACAAAAAACGAAUUGAAUAAAAAAAAAUUAAUGACUUUUUUAAAAGAAAGUAAUAUAAAUGAUUUUUGUAAAGACAUAAAUAAAAUAAAUUUUUUGAAAAAAAAAAUAACAGAUAAAGAUAUAUGUUUAGCGAUAACAUGUUUAUUAAAAUUUAACAUUGUUUCAACGAAUAAAAUAAGUAAAGACGUGUUUGAAAUACAAAGUGAUUAUGCUUAUAAAAUGAAUUGCCAUGUUUAUUAUAUUGUAUUUUAUUUAUUAUGUAUAUUACAAAAGAAAUAUAUAUUUCAAUUAUAUAAAAUAUUAAAUGUAUUAAAAAGACAUUGUUCUUCUCAUAUUUCCGAAAUUAUAAUACAAAUAAUAAAAAAAAUGGAUCCAUAUAUUACUGCUAUUUUAAUUUAUACAAUAGGAAAUUUAACACCUCAUUCUUUUAUGCAAAAUUGUUUAACAACUAAACGAUAUAAUAUAUGUUCUUUAUACAUUGUUAAUAUACAAAAUUAUAUAGGAGUAUAUGACAUUCGUAAAUUUUAUUGUAUGUAUUUGUUAUAUAUGACUUUAAGACAUAACAUAACAUAUACAGAAGAAAUUUUAAACUAUACAGCUCUUUUAUUUUACACAUUAUAUGAAAAAAAACAAGCUAAUAAUAAUCAUCAUAUUUAUCACUUAAAUUAUUUUGGAUUAAAAAACAUAAAAAACGUAAUAAAUUUAUUAAAACAAUAUCCUAAACAUUCUCAAAAUUUUAUGUUUUUUCUUUUGUGUGCUUAUAAUUUACAUAAGAACACCCCUAAACAAUUAAACGAUAUACAACAUUUAAGUUGCUUAUUUGACACGACACACAUUGUUAGUACUAUCGAUCGUAGUAACAACAACAACAGUAGUAAUAGUAGCAAUAAUAGCAAUAGUAGCAAUAGUAGCAAUAGAACCACUACCACCACUAGUAAUAAUAAUAAAAGAACCAACAAGAGUAAAACAGCAAAACAAAAUAACAUGCUACA